rnacentral:rRNA from 1 species
UACAGAGGGUGCAAGCGUUAAUCGGAAUUACUGGGCGUAAAGCGUGCGUAGACGGUUAUUUAAGUCGGGUGUGAAAGCCCCGGGCUCAACCUGGGAAUUGCAUUCGAAACUGAAUAGCUAGGGUGCGGAAGAGGGAAGCGGAAUUUCCGGUGUAGCGGUGAAAUGCGUAGAUAUCGGAAGGAACACCAGUGGCGAAAGCGGCUUCCUGGUCCAGCACCGACGUUCAGGCACGAAAGCGUGGGGAGCAAACAGG